UACGUAGGUGGCAAGCGUUGUCCGGAUUUACUGGGCGUAAAGAGCGCGCAGGCGGUCGAAUAAGUCGAAUGUGAAAGCCCCCGGCUUAACUGGGGAGGGUCAUUCGAUACUGCUCGACUUGAAGGCAGGAGAGGGUAGUGGAAUUCCCGGUGUAGUGGUGAAAUGCGUAGAUAUCGGGAGGAACACCAGUGGCGAAGGCGACUACCUGGCCUGUUCUUGACGCUGAGGCGCGAAAGCUAGGGUAGCAAACGGG
rnacentral:rRNA from 1 species